ACGUAUGGGGCGAGCGUUGUUCGGAUUUACUGGGCGUAAAGGGCGCGUAGGCGGCGUGGUAAGUCACUUGUGAAAUCUCUGAGCUUAACUCAGAACGGCCAAGUGAUACUGCUGUGCUAGAGUGCAGAAGGGGCAAUCGGAAUUCUUGGUGUAGCGGUGAAAUGCGUAGAUAUCAAGAGGAACACCUGAGGUGAAGACGGGUUGCUGGGCUGACACUGACGCUGAGGCGCGAAAGCCAGGGGAGCAAACGGGA
rnacentral:rRNA from 1 species